UACGGAGGGUGCGAGCGUUAAUCGGAAUUACUGGGCGUAAAGCGUGCGUAGGCGGCGUGUCAAGUCAGAUGUGAAAGCCCCGGGCUCAACCUGGGAACGGCAUUUGAAACUGGCAGGCUAGAGUUAGGUAGAGGGGAGUGGAAUUUCAGGUGUAGCGGUGAAAUGCGUAGAUAUCUGAAGGAACACCAGUGGCGAAGGCGGCUCCCUGGACCCAAACUGACGCUGAGGUACGAAAGCGUGGGUAGCAAACAGG
rnacentral:rRNA from 1 species